UACGGAGGGUGCGAGCGUUGUUCGGAAUCACUGGGCGUAAAGCGUGUGCAGGCGGUCUGUUAAGACAGGUGUGAAAUCCCCGGGCUUAACCUGGGAAUGGCGCUUGUUACUGGCAGACUAGAGUGCGUCAGAGGGGGGUGGAAUUCCACGUGUAGCAGUGAAAUGCGUAGAGAUGUGGAGGAACACCGAUGGCGAAGGCAGCCCCCUGGGAUGACACUGACGCUCAUACACGAAAGCGUGGGGAGCAAACAGG
rnacentral:rRNA from 1 species